GAGUGUAACCUUUUAUUUUAUUUUCAGCAUCUUGACGACAGAACAUUAAUCAACAGGGUCAAAGAUCCAUGUCAUGUCAGUUACACACUGACACCAGCUGCAAAAGAAGAAAAAAAUGUCCUUUUUCUGUGGGACACUUGAAUUAAUACAAAAUAGGGUGAAUUCUGCAAGUAUUACAGUACAAAACCGUUACAGAUACAUCCAAGAACCCUGUAGAGACAUAGAUCAUGUGUACAAUUGUGACAGGAUGAAGAUCUAACGAUGUAUCUGAGUGAUGACACUGUAUCGGUGAACCCUCCCUUCUCGUCCAUAACUAACUUUGAGACAAAUAUAGACCCUUUUUUCCCCUCCAGUCAGCUGUCCUUCUGAGUCGAAAACUCCAUGGAGCAAAUAUUCUCUAUAAAUAUUCUUCUCAAAAAAUACCCGGCACGCAUGGUGCUUACUUGGGAAUCAGACAGCCACGAUCACCUUAAAUCUGGACAAACAGCAUCUGUCCCUUCAUCCAUUUGGCAGAGCAGUCAGUCCUUACACCACAACAUGUCAGAAUUGGAUAAUUCAUGUUUGAAACAGCACAUUGAAAAAACCCUGAACCCAUUUGUGUCUGGGUGGUCUUAAAAGUACAGACAGAUAAAGAGAGUUUCAAUAUAAAAGAUAAAGAUCACGCUUUUUCAAUGAAUAGAUCUAGGUCUGAUUGUUUUUGUCUUUUUGGGAUCAAACUGAUCUCGAUGAAAUCAUGUUUCACAAUCAAGUACGACAUGAUUGUGCAUUUGUGCAGUGUGUUUCUAAUUCACACAUUCUGUUUCUGCAUUUCUUUGUUGUUUUGAAUCUCUUUUACAAGGCAGAUAUAACGGAUGUUGUUUUUCAUUACAUCGUAUUCAGUUGAGAUUUCAGUUAUGUAUUAACUGAAAUCUCGUCAAUAACAAUACUGCAUGAGACACAUCAUGGCCUUAUGAAUGACGUCUAAAACCUAACCGACGAUAUUUACUGGGAAGUUUAGGUUAUGGUCUUACAUUAAUGACUGCGAGCUCAGAAAGGCCAAAAUAAAGUUACAAAAGCUUAAAAGAUUGGUGAUAAUACUUAUAUCCACUUUGAUUCACACUCAAGAAACAAACACAUAUACAAUUACAAUAUGUAUUGAUCUUCUCCCUUGCAAUUACUUUGUAUUUGUGUAUUGUCUAAAUAAAUACAUUAAAUACAUGUCAACUUUCAAUAAAUAAAAUAUAUUAAACGAUAAUAUGAAUAAAAAACACUGACUGAUAUAUAUAUCUGUAAAAAAAAAUCCCACAAAGAAAAUGUACAUUCUGUUAAAAGGUGCUACCUUAACAAUAAGGCUGUGAAAAAGGAAACAUAAUAAAAACAAAAUACAAAAGGAAAUACAUCAGAACAUUUUCAGUGUCUACUGCCUCUAGAGUGGCAUAUAUCCUUAGAAACAGACAACUAUAUCCGUCUUAUUUUUUGCAAAGGAAUUGUAAAUAAUCAUACGUAGCUGGUAAAGACAGCUUUAAAUGGGCUAAUAUUUAUUGUUAGUUUGUUUCUGUACCGUACCCAAGUUCACUCGACAUCAGGACAGACCCAGAGAGAUUGAGAGAGGAAACAGAGGGCGAGAGAGAAAGAGAGAGCAAGGGAGGGAGAGAUCGAGGAGAGAGAGGGAACAAGGGAGAGAGACAAAGUGGAGAGAGAGGAAACCACAGGGGGCGAGAGACAGAGAAAUACAAGGUUCAGGUCAGGCUUAUAGACAGGUAAGGAGGAAAGCACUUGUGGGCAGUGGAGAAGGAAUGUAUUGGGAAUGAGGAGUCUGUGGUACCAGUAAAGGCAGAUUGGUGAAGGGAGGAGAGUUCCCAGCAGUUGUAAAAAUCCUACAAAAUAAAACGUUGAUAAUCCUCUGGUUGAGGAGGAGUAGAGGGUCCGUUAUGAAGAGUGGAUCCGGACAUCCAGCAGCUUUGCCUCCA
ensembl:lncRNA